rnacentral:misc_RNA from 1 species
GAUGAAGAACGCAGCAAAAUGCGAUAAGUAAUGUGAAUUGCAGAAUUCAGUGAAUCAUCGAAUCUUUGAACGCACAUUGCGCCCAUUAGUAUUCUGGUGGGCAUGCCUGUUCGAGCGUCAUUAAGUCCACUUAAGCCCUGCUUAGUGUUGGGAGACUGCUCCAGCGGUGCUACCCUGUAGCUACCCUGCAGCUCCUCAAAGACAGCGGCGGAGUUGUGGUAUCCUCUGAGCUUAGUAACUUGUUCUAGCUUUCGAGUACACCACUUCCCCUGCCGUAAAACCCUUAAUUUUUAAUGGUUGACCUCGGAUCAGGUAGGAAUACCCGCUGAACUUAAGCAUAUCAAUAAGCGGAGGA